UUGCAGGGGCCUGGCGUGCAGUGGCCGUAAACAGCAGCCUUCUCAGUAGUGCACACAAUUUGUUGUUUGUCCGGGUCGCCCUAAGGGACCUUGGAGACAGCC
rnacentral:snoRNA from 1 species